GACGAACGCUGGCGGCGUGCUUAACACAUGCAAGUCGAACGGAAAGGCCCUGCUUUUGUGGGGUGCUCGAGUGGCGAACGGGUGAGUAACACGUGAGUAACCUGCCCUUGACUUUGGGAUAACUUCAGGAAACUGGGGCUAAUACCGGAUAGGAGCUCCUGCUGCAUGGUGGGGGUUGGAAAGUUUCGGCGGUUGGGGAUGGACUCGCGGCUUAUCAGCUUGUUGGUGGGGUAGUGGCUUACCAAGGCUUUGACGGGUAGCCGGCCUGAGAGGGUGACCGGCCACAUUGGGACUGAGAUACGGCCCAGACUCCUACGGGAGGAAGCAGUGGGGAAUAUUGCACAAUGGGCGGAAGCCUGAUGCAGAACCGCCGCGUGCGGGAUGACGGCCUUCGGGUGGUAAACCGCUUUCGCCUGUGACGAAGCGUGAGUGACGGUAAUGGGUAAAGAAGCACCGGCUAACUACGU
rnacentral:rRNA from 1 species